AAGUCCCGUAACGAGCGCAACCCUUGUCCUUAUUUGCCAGCACUUCGGGUGGGAACUCUAAGGAGACUGCCGGUGACAAACCGGAGGAAGGUGGGGACGACGUCAAGUCAUCAUGGCCCUUACGAGUUGGGCUACACACGUGCUACAAUGGUCGGUACAGAGGGCUGCAAACCUGCGAAGGUAAGCUAAUCUCACAAAACCGGUCGUAGUCCGGAUUGGAGUCUGCAACUCGACUCCAUGAAGUCGGAAUCGCUAGUAAUCGUGGAUCAGAAUGCCACGGUGAAUACGUUCCCGGGCCUU
rnacentral:rRNA from 1 species